UACGUAGGGGGCAAGCGUUAUCCGGAUUUACUGGGUGUAAAGGGAGCGUAGACGGCACUACAAGUCUGGAGUGAAAGCCCGGGGCUCAACUCCGGGACUGCUUUUGAAACUGUAUAGCUGGAGUGCAGGAGAGGUAAGUGGAAUUCCUGGUGUAGCGGUGAAAUGCGUAGAUAUCAGGAGGAACACCAGUGGCGAAGGCGGCCUGCUGGACGGUGACUGACGCUGAGGCUCGAAAGCGUGGGGAGCAAACAGG
rnacentral:rRNA from 1 species